rnacentral:rRNA from 1 species
CCUUACCUACCCUUGACAUGUACGGAAUUCCGCUGAGAGGUGGAAGUGCCCGAAAGGGAGCCGUAACACAGGUGCUGCAUGGCUGUCGUCAGCUCGUGUCGUGAGAUGUUGGGUUAAGUCCCGCAACGAGCGCAACCCUUGUCCCUAGUUGCUACGCAAGAGCACUCCAGGGAGACUGCCGGUGACAAACCGGAGGAAGGUGGGGAUGACGUCAAGUCCUCAUGGCCCUUAUGGGUAGGGCUUCACACGUCAUACAAUGGUCGGAACAGAGGGUUGCCAAGCCGCGAGGUGGAGCCAAUCCCAGAAAACCGAUCGUAGUCCGGAUCGCAGUCUGCAACUCGACUGCGUGAAGCUGGAAUCGCUAGUAAUCGCGGAUCAGCA